AGGCCCUACGGGCGCAGCAGUCGGGAAUAUUGCGCAAUGGAGGAAACUCUGACGCAGUGACGCCGCGUGCAGGAAGAAGGUUUUCGGAUUGUAAACUUCUUUAGACAGGGAAGAAAAAAGACAGUACCUGUAGAAUAAGCUCCGGCUAACUAUGUGCCAGCAGCCGCGGUAAUACGUAGGGAGCAAGCGUUAUCCGGAUUUAUUGGGUGUAAAGGGUGCGUAGACGGAGAAGCAAGUUAGUUGUGAAAUCCCUCGGCUUAACUGAGGAACUGCAACUAAAACUACUUCCCUUGAGUACUGGAGAG
rnacentral:rRNA from 1 species